UGGGGAGUACCUGAGUCACUUCCUACCAUAAUUACCUUUAAUGGGCAGGAAAAAUGAAAUAGAAGAAUGCAUGCAUUGCCUGAAUGCCUCAAAUUAAUCACCUACAGUUUAUAAUUUUAUAUAAGAAAAUAUAGGUGCAUAUAUAUUGUUACAUAUAAUGUGCCAUAAUAUAAUGUAAUACAGUAUGUUCAUGAAUAUAAUUUAUAUGUACAUAAUGCAUAUUUAUAUACUCAUGCAUGGCAUAUUUUUAUUUCUAAGUAUACUGAUUUUAUUAGUAAGCACUAAUCCUAUUAAUCACUACGCAUGAGUUAAAAAUGAUAUGUAAAGAUUAAAGACCACUGUUCUAUUUUAAAUUGUUAUAGCAUGUUCUUAUGUUAUAGUCUGAUGACCUGAACCAAUCAAAAGAUAGUGAUCCCAAGGAUAUAAAUAUACCACCCUUGAAGCACCAGAUUUGAUUUGAUCCUUAGAUUAAAAAAAAAAAACUUUCAUUCCUAUGCUCUUUUCAAAUAUGUGAUUUCAGUUAUAUUAAGGGAUGUUAUGAAUGUAUGUAGAUAUACAUUCAAAUGUACUAGAAAAAUAAAGUGUGAUAUCCAUGA